rnacentral:rRNA from 1 species
CCUACGGGUGGCAGCAGUAGGGAAUUUUGCGCAAUGGGCGAAAGCCUGACGCAGCAACGCCGCGUGAUCGAGACGCCCUUCGGGGUGUAAAGAUCUGUCAGUGGGGACGACACUUGACGGUACCCACUGAGGAAGCACCGGCUAACUCCGUGCCAGCAGCCGCGGUAAUACGGGGGGUGCAAGCGUUGUCCGGAAUCAUUGGGGGUAAAGAGUUCGUAGGCGGCACGUAAAGUCUGGUGUUAAAGGCAGGGGCUCAACUUCGAUACGGCACGGGAUACUUGCGAGCUAGAAUGCGGUAGAGGUAAAGGGAAUUGCUGGUGUAGGGGUGAAAUGCUUAGAUAUCAGGAGGAACAGCGGUGGCGUAAGCGGUUUACUGGGCCGUAAUUGACGCUGAGGAACGAAAGCCAGGGUAGCAAAUGGGAUUAGAUACCCGUGUAGUC